UACGAAGGGGGCUAGCGUUGCUCGGAAUCACUGGGCGUAAAGGGUGCGUAGGCGGGUCUUUAAGUCAGAGGUGAAAUCCUGAAGCUCAACUCCAGAACUGCCUUUGAUACUGAGGAUCUUGAGUUCGGGAGAGGUGAGUGGAACUGCGAGUGUAGAGGUGAAAUUCGUAGAUAUUCGCAAGAACACCAGUGGCGAAGGCGGCUCACUGGCCCGAUACUGACGCUGAGGUGCGAAAGCGUGGGGAGCAAACAGG
rnacentral:rRNA from 1 species